UGUCAUGGUGAUAUUGUACCACAGUGGAUCUGCUUUUCCAGACUUUAGGUUGAAAGAUAGUUCUGAGAAUUUUCCCUAGUUGACAGUUAACUGUCAUUUAAAUGUUUUUCUAACCUAAAUGAUGCAAAGCUCAGAUUAUCUUCAGCCCUAAAUAUGGUUUAUUACAGAUGAUUGCUGACACAGUGAGGAAAAUGAACUGGAGAGGAGCAAAAGAGAAGAGAGAAACUAGUUACACAUCUACUGCAAAAGUCGAGAGAGAUGAUGGCAGCAUGGACCAGGAUGGGGAUGGCAGGGAAGACAGAGCAAUGACAGAAAUCAAUGCUUGAGAAAGUACUUGAAUGGAUCUUCUUGUCCCUUUGGAAGAAGGAAUUUCAACACCCUCAACAUAGCAAAAAGCUUGGAAAGUUAUCAGCCUUGAUUGAAGAUGAAAUGGUUUCUUCACAGAUGUGUUUGACUAUUGCUAAGCAUCUCAACAAAUCUUCAGCCUACAGACUUCCAAUCUAGAAAUGAUGUGGGGAUCAAGAACCUCGACUUUAACCCUAUCAAGAAGGGAGGGUGUGGAAGAAGAGAGAUAGAGAAUAACACACAGACUCAUUUUUUUAUUCCCUACCAACUUAUGACUGUUGACACAGAGGCUGCCUUUGCUGUAAUUUACCAUAUUGAGAUAAGUGAUUGAUUGUAUCACCAAAGAAUACAUGGUGUGUUUAAUAUACAGGGAAGAAGUGGAGGUAAAGAAAUGGUCAGUGCCUACACAGAGCUGUCAAGAAUAUGUGCUGCAAACCUCAUUUUGCCUUUUUUUCCCCAUUCAGUAGGAACUCUGUGAAUAAGAGAAACAUAGAAAUUAUACUAGUCUACUGCACACUCCUUCUUGAAUUGCCAUGCAAAUCUGUUCAUCAAAAUUACCGAGUAAAAUUAAAUCAUACAAUUAGACCUAAUCACCUAGGUCACAUCAUCACAGUUGAAACAUCUUAAACAUACCCAAGGUGAUCUAAUUUAAAAACUUGGCAUUUUGUGGGGAUAUAUUAACACUUUCCUAUUUGGAGGACACAGCAACUCCUUUACCCCAUUCUUAUUAAAUAUUUAUAUGCAUGACAUCAGUGUUCUGAAAAUACCCUGUGUGAUAUAAAGCCAAUAUAUGGUUUCUCCAAAAGGAAAGCAUUAAAAUAAUUUGCUUAGAGAAAUUAGGGUUAUAGAUUUUUAAAUUAAUUUACCUCCACAUAUUUACUCUUAUAGAAAUGGGCACCAGAGUGAAAACAGGGAGAUAGGAAUCCAAGAGACUGAUGGUGACCAGGACCAAGGUGCCAUCAGGAAUGUUCUGAAGUGAUUGGAUUCAAAAUAUAUAUUGCAGUCAAAGAAAUUGCUAAUGAAUAUAAUGUAGAAGACGGGGAAAAAAGAAUUCCUGAUUGAAGAACUGGGAAAACUAGAGGUGCCUGGGUGGCUCAGUUGAUUAAGUUGCAGCUCUGAAUUUUGGUUCAGGUCAUGAUCUAAUGGAUUUUGAGUU